GGGAGGAGCAGUAGGGAAUCUUCGGCAAUGGACGAAAGUCUGACCGAGCAACGCCGCGUGAGUGAAGAAGGUUUUCGGAUCGUAAAACUCUGUUGUUAGAGAAGAACAAGGACGUUAGUAACUGAACGUCCCCUGACGGUAUCUAACCAGAAAGCCACGGCUAACUACGUGCCAGCAGCCGCGGUAAUACGUAGGUGGCAAGCGUUGUCCGGAUUUAUUGGGCGUAAAGCGAGCGCAGGCGGUUUCUUAAGUCUGAUGUGAAAGCCCCCGGCUCAACCGGGGAGGGUCAUUGGAAACUGGGAGACUUGAGUGCAGAAGAGGAGAGUGGAAUUCCAUGUGUAGCGGUGAAAUGCGUAGAUAUAUGGAGGAACACCAGUGGCGAAGGCGGCUCUCUGGUCUGUAACUGACGCUGAGGCUCGAAAGCGUGGGGAGCAAACAGGAUUAGAUACCCUGGUAGUCCACGCCGUAAACGAUGAGUGCUAAGUGUUGGAGGGUUUCCGCCCUUCAGUGCUGCAGCAAACGCAUUAAGCACUCCGCCUGGGAGACGCCCGAAGGU
rnacentral:rRNA from 1 species